UUGAAAAUGUCAAGAAAUAGCAACAGGUUGGAGAUUUGACUUGAGUGUAAACGAAGUCUUGCACAGAUAUGUCAAGACGAUUUUCAGAUUUAUCGAAUCUAAAAUAAGAUGUAUAAAAUUGCUGUAUUUUGGGGUCAAAUGACGUGGGGGACUCUUGGACGACUUAUGGAUGAAGAAAUGUGGUUGGUGUGGCUGGGAAGGGUGCUGGCAGGUAUACGUGGUACGGCCAGAAGCAUAAAGGGACAGCACUGCUUGGAUGGCUACAUACAUGGCGGGAACAUUGAAGGUCUCAAACAUGAUCUGGGUC